UACGUAGGGGGCGAGCGUUGUCCGGAAUGAUUGGGCGUAAAGGGCGCGUAGGCGGCUUGUUAAGUCUGGAGUGGAAGUCCUCUUUUUAAGGGAGGAAUUGCUUUGGAAACUGGCGAGCUUGAGUGCAGGAGAGGUUAUCGGAAUUCCCGGUGUAGCGGUGAAAUGCGUAGAGAUCGGGAGGAACACCAGUGGCGAAGGCGGGUAACUGGACUGCAACUGACGCUGAGGCGCGAAAGUGUGGGGAGCAAACAGGAUUAGAUACCCUGGUAGUCCCUGAG
rnacentral:rRNA from 1 species